UCGGGAAUUUUGGGCAAUGGGGGAAACCCUGACCCAGCAACGCCGCGUGAAGGAUGAAGUAUUUCGGUAUGUAAACUUCGUAAGAAUAGGAAGAAUAAAUGACGGUACUAUUUGUAAGGUCCGGCUAACUACGUGCCAGCAGCCGCGGUAAUACGUAGGGACCAAGCGUUGUUCGGAAUUACUGGGCGUAAAGCGCACGUAGGCGGAUUGUUAAGUCAGAGGUGAAAUCCCGGAGCUCAACUUCGGAACUGCCUUUGAUACUGGCAAUCUAGAGUCCGGAAGAGGUUAGUGGAAUUCCCAGUGUAGAGGUGAAAUUCGUAGAUAUUGGGAAGAACACCAGUGGCGAAGGCGGCUAACUGGUCCGGUACUGACGCUGAGGUGCGAAAGCGUGGGGAGCAAACAGGAUUAGAUACCCUUGUAGUCCCUGAGCGGGCUGGCAAGGCGCAU
rnacentral:rRNA from 1 species